GAGGGGAUAGCUCAAGUGGUAGAGCACAUGCCUAGCAUGCCCCAGGUCCUGGGUUCAAUCCCCAGUACCUCCU
rnacentral:tRNA from 1 species